ACAGAGGAUGCACUUCUCUGUCUCCAGCUGAGGAGCAGCAGCUGGAAGCCCAGGGACGGACGGACGGACAGACAUAUGCAUGCUGCUGAGACCUGGACAGGCACCCAGGGAGAUUGCAGCCUCCAAGGGCUGCACUGCCUGAGGGGCCUGGAGAUACUGAGGACACCCCAACUUCAACUGCUGGAGUCAAGGGAGUACAGCAUAGCCAACUGAUAACACGUGAUCAGUCGUCAGUCAAGGACAGAUCCCUUAGUCUAUUGCCAGGACAACAUUUUCUACCACAUUGCUCAGAGCUGUUUCCGUACCAUGAGGCUGCCUCUUUCCAGACUGAAAGACAAGCAGCCUCUGGCAAUGCGGCCUAAAUGGUCGCCCCUCCAUAUCUGCUGAAUGUCUGACCUUGAUCAGGAGGAGAAAGAAGCAUACUAGGAAGGAUAUGUUCUCAGAGAUUCUCUGAUCCUUUAUGGUCUUGAACCGUGAACAGAGGGUGACCCUGACCCUAUGUGACCCUGACCAUAGAGAAGGUCCAAAAAUGAAGAGUGGUUGCCAAAGGAAAGAUGCACCAGAACAUCAUGGGUUUGCUCAGAUGUUGCAGAGCAUUAUUGACCCACGUGCUCAAAUAGCCCAGACUCAGCAGCCUAUCCAAUCCUUGGAAAACUCCAUGAUUGGUGCUUCCUGUACUCCUCUCCACGCACAUAUCAGAUGGCAGUACUUACUACAGUUUAGUAAGCUGUGGCUGAUUCUGUGAUUUUUCCAUAGACCGAUAUAUUGGUAGCUAUGUUUCUCCUUGUUUUCUCCAGGCAUGGAGUGGAGAAGUAAGUGUUACAUACAUGGACGCAAACAGUGAAUGUUUAUGUCCAUUUUUACAUGGGGUUUUAAAGUACGGCUCAUCCUGUUAGAGUUGCUAGAAGGUUUUUAACUUGUGUGUUUGCAUGUUAAUGUUGUUGCCUGUUUUGCACACAAUAAAGUUUAUUUUUGGAAACUCA